GGCUCAGAACGAACGCUGGCGGCGCGCCUAAUACAUGCAAGUCGAGCGAGUAGGUGUAGCAAUACACUUGUAAAGCGGCGAACGGGUGAGGAAUACAUGGGUAACCUACCCUCGAGUGGGGAAUAACUAGCCGAAAGGUUAGCUAAUACCGCGUACGCCUCCCGGACUUCGGUUCGGGAGGGAAAGCGAUACCGUGGGUAUCGCGCUCCUGGAUGGGCUCAUGCCCUAUCAGCUUGUUGGUGAGGUAACGGCUCACCAAGGCUUCGACGGGUAGCUGAUCUGAGAGGAUGAUCAGCCACACUGGCACUGCGACACGGGCCAGACUCCUACGGGAGGCAGCAGUAAGGAAUAUUGCGCAAUGGGCGAAAGCCUGACGCAGCGACGCCGCGUGGGGGAUGAAGGUCUUCGGAUUGUAAACCCCUUUCGGCAGGGAAGAUGGAACGGGCAACCGUUCGGACGGUACCUGCAGAAGCAGCCACGGCUAACUUCGUGCCAGCAGCCGCGGUAAUACGAAGGUGGCAAGCGUUGUUCGGAUUCACUGGGCGUACAGGGAGCGUAGGCGGUUGGGUAAGCCCUCCGUGAAAUCUCCGGGCCUAACCCGGAAAGUGCGGAGGGGACUGCUUAGCUAGAGGAUGGGAGAGGAGCGCGGAAUUCCCGGUGUAGCGGUGAAAUGCGUAGAGA
rnacentral:rRNA from 1 species